GUUCUGUUACCGGAGACAGCUGGCGCCGUAAGGCUUAAUGUAUGCCCGCCGAGGUACAAAAGUCUGUAGUAAUGAUUGACUUUGAUUAACCUCGUCCUUCUCUCCGGAAGGACUUUUUUCA
rnacentral:sRNA from 1 species